ACCAGUCAUAGUUGGAAAAAUUUUGCUUAAUCACAAGGCAAGUUUUUCGCUCCUUGCCAGUUGGUGGCUGUUUAUAAUGAUAAUAAACGUGGUCUUUAAAUCACGAUUAACUGCACAUAUGAUUUACCCACGUGUCCCACCGCCAACUCUGGACGAAUUACUCAGUGAGGGGUAUAAUUUUGUGGGUGAUAAGAACAGACUAUCAUUCUACCAACAAGUUUUUUCGGAUGAGGAAAAAUCAUUGUUUUUGAAGUCAACAAAUAUGCAAAAAAACAACGUUUGUGAACUUGCAGUUUACAUUGAGACACACAAAUCUAUUCUUGCGGGCGAAAAAUCGCGAAAUUUGUAUCACACCAAACUGUUUUGUUCGCACUAUUACCAAAAACCACCGCAAAAUUUGGAGCUUUUUUCGGCAAAAACCUUCGUUUUAAUCCCCUAUGCUUGGGCCUUUAGACUUGGAACACCAUUUGUUGAUAGUUUUAACAGCGGCAUCAAGCAAAUGAUGAGUGGAGGUUUUCUCAAAGUAUGGGAACGUGAGGCAUUUUUAAAUAAAGAAUUUCGCAAGUAUCGAAAAAAUUCGUCGAGAAAUAACACUCGAAUUGAAUCCGACGCUUUCCUGAUGGUUUGUUUAUUACACUUAGGUGCGCUUUUUGGCUCACUUGUGGUGUUUUUCAUCGAAUUGAGUUAUUUUGCGUUGAA